rnacentral:lncRNA from 1 species
AAAACGCAACUGAAACAACAAUGAAAAUCUCACCACCAUCAGCUCGUUUCAGCCAUGAAAAGCUGUCACUUCAGCUCCGAAAACGAGUAACCAAAAUCACCAACGAGAUUAUAGAUCUUUGGAUUGAUUUUACAUUAGAAAUAAUUCACCAGCUGUAGUUUUGCUCUUGCAUUUCCGGGUUAUAAGGUAUGUAAAUCACACAUGUAUUUCACCUCUGAAUACGAAUGAGUAUCUGAAUUGAUGUCCCUAUAGAUCAGUUGGAUUUCAUGAAAUCAUGAUGUUUUGACUAUCAAAUCUAAUUAUUGCGGUAUAGAUGUCCAUAUUCGAUCGUGGCAGAGGAUUUGGAAUGAUUGCUUUAAUGAAAAUUAUACAUUAGCUAAUUCAUUGUUGUUGAAGUGUUUUGCCCUAUGGUAAGCAUGUGAGUAUUAGUAUAUUGUCAUGAAGUGUGAUUUAGCAUAUUUUAGUAAGUCCAAACUUUCUUGCAUAUAAGCUUCAAAUUUACCAAUAAUUUAGAAAAAGGAUAUGACAGUCUUCUUAUUAUCUUAAUUCAUCAUAUUCUAUGUUAUUUAUCCUUGUAUCGCAGUAACAUUCCCCAAUUAAACUUUUGUCAGAUAGUAACACUUGAUAAUAACUGGAAGCUUCUCUAGUAUUGGUAUUAAUGGAGAAAUUAAGCUAAUUUUAAAUCUAGAUAUGAGAUUGCCAAUAUAAUUUCUUCUAGAUCUUACUAUUUACGAUUCCACAAGUAUGAGAAGUCGAGAACAAAACGGAGCUUGUGGAGCACCUCAAUUACUUUGGAGGGUUCUAACCUGUUAAUGUUUGUUCUGAUGUUAUUUUUAUUGUGACUUUGUUGGGAUAACUCUGUUCACUUCCUAAGCUCUUAAUUUAUCAUUGUGAUUGUGUACCCAUUCGUGUGGCAUAAUUAUGAUUUUUCAAAAUAAAAUAAAGGUCCGCCGUGCAAAACAAAAUGACAAGUGCAUGGCCCUCGUUUAAUUAAUCUUGUUUAUCCUUAGAAAUCGAGACGUGCCAUCUAGCGAAUUUUCAUGGCCCUCGCAAAGUUGCUAUUGCAUAGUCACUUUAGGUGUGUUAGUUUAAUAAUUCAUCUUCCUAAACUCGGGUGCACAUUUAUGUGACCCAAAUCUAAAUUUCAACAAUGUUAGAUAAAAUGUGUCGAGGAUCGCGGGUGCAUUUAUGUGACGCAGUUCAAGACAUAUUUUAAAUAACUUUGAAUCUUCCUAAAAAAGAGAUAUAAUUAAAUAAAAGCGGGUAUAAAUUUAAAAUUACACCAUAGAUUAGAACAUGUUUAUAAUCAGAUAAUUAGGCCAAUUAUGACUGUUGAGCGACCGUGCUAGAACCAUGGAACUCAGGAAUGCCUAACACCUUCUCUCAUGUUAGAUUUCCUUAGCCGAAUUUCUGGCUCGCAGACUGUAUAACAGAGUCAACCUUUUCGUCGAUUCGGGAUUUAAACCGGUGACUCGGGACACCAUUAAUUAUCCCAAGUGGCAACUCUGAAAUCUUUUAAUAUUAAAUCUCGUUUCGAAUGUCCUUUAAUUCGAAAAAUCCCUUUAUCUACCCCCUUCGCAGGGUGUAGUGAAAAAAAAAAGGUGUGACAGCUCUGGCGACUCUGCUGAGGAUUGAACCCAGAACUUUGGUUCGGAGUUCAAGAAUUCUAGUUUAGAAUAGCUGUUAUGAUUGACUAUAUUUAUUAUCUGAUGUUCCCACAUGUUUGAGCCUAAUAUGCUAAAUGCCUUUACCGCUUUGAUAUUUUGUGAAUUGUAUAUAAAAUUGCUACAAAACCCUUCUCUUCUCAUCUUCGAGGAUGUGUUCGCUGGUCGAGACCCCCUAUUCUAUUAGUGUCAUACCUUGAAAUAAGAAAGAGGCUCGGACAAGUUACAAAUCCAGACGGCCUUUUGGUUCCCGGUACGUAGCCCCCUUCUCGGCUCGAGUUAUCCGCCCGGGUGCAUAAGUCUAGAAAAUAUACACAGGUUUUAUACUUAGAAUAAUUCGGCCUCAUGCAGGAUACCAAGUAGGAACGUUUGUUUGCAUCAUGUGUAUUUGACUUUGGGGACUCAACACAGGGGUUGGGUCCGUUUAGGAAAGAUCAUCCUGAUACAUCUUACGUGUUUUGCGUAUCUGUCUGUUCAGGCUUGUACAUUGACUGGCUUAUAGAAUAGGAAAAGAAAAUGAAAAAAAAAAGAAAGAAGAAAAGAAAAGAGUGAGAUGUAGGUAUUUGAAAUAUCCUGAAACUCUGUUGAAAUUUUGAAAAAUAGAAAAAAGAAAAGUCAUUUCAAAAUGAGCCAUGUUUUUUCUGUUCCGUCAAAAUUAGAGAACUACGCGUGUUUAAUUCUCACCGGAUGUGUGAUACGUAGGCAAACCUUAUCGGUUUCGGUCCUUAAUUUUUAAAAAAUCCAAAAAAAACUCUUACUCCUUGUUUAGAAAAGUUUUUCUUUGAGAUCCAAAUUUUUUUGAAAAAUACAAAUUUUUUUCUUUUAGCUUCAUCUCAAGAUAAAAAAAAAUACAAAAAUAUUUUCAUUCUUCUUUCGAAAAUUGAAAAGAAAAUACAAGAUUCAAAAUACUUUCUUUUUCUUUAGAAGUACUUUUUUCGUAACUUCAGAAUAAAAAUUCAUAAAUGCAAAAAUAUUUUUCUUUCUUCUUUAGAAGUUUUUCUUUCGAAAUUUUAAAAAAAAUCGAAAUUCAAAAAAAAAAAGAAAAAAGUCUUUCUUCUUUAGAAGUCUUUCUUUGCAAAAAUGCUGAAGAAAAUCCAAAAUCCAAAAUCCAAAAUAUAUUCUCUUUCUUCUUUAUAAGUCUUUCUUUUGAAACAAAGUGGAAAAAAAAAAGAAAAUUCGAAAUCUAGAAAAAUAUAAAUUUGGUUUAUUUCCUUUAUUCCUAAUCUUCUCGAACUACUCAGGAUCUUAUUCACGGACGCCAUGAUACGUAGAUAAUCCACAUCAGGUUUGAUCAACCAUGGAAAAGGAAAAUGAGAAAAAUGAAAAAAGAAGAAGAAGAAAAGAAAAACAAAAGUGAAAAUAUUGAUAAUAAUAAGAAAAACAAACCAUUCUAACAUGUCAUUUGUUUUGAAUUGUAAAGAAAGUUUGAGGUGGUCGGUUUGUGGUAAGCAGACAACACAAGAUUCAAGAAAAAAUGAUAACUGACAUCAAAGUUGUUACAAGUGCUCAAGAGACCCAGGGUCAGAGGUUCGACAAGAGUCUACUGUGGUUGAGAAAAAUAGAAUACUGAAACAACAAAUGACCAAAAUGUGUCAAGCAUAGGCCAAUGGCCAAGGAGAACCUUGUCAUGAGUCACAAUCUUCUACACAGCAAGAGCAGCACCGCUCUCCUGAAUACCACUCGUACUCGUUUGAUCUUCAUGCAAACAUUGAGAAGCCUACCCAAAAGAUGGCACAGGAAGAAAUGACCCAAUGCGUGAAAAGCUUAGAACAAUGGUUGAAAAACAUGCAAUGGUUGAGGGGUCAGAAGAGUGUUACCUUCUACGAUCUAUGUAUGUUCCCCGAUGUCCAUUUGGAGCCUGGUUUCAAGACUCCCAAAUUUGAAAAGUAUGAUGGACAUGGAGACCUCAUAGCCCACCUGAAAAGAUAUUCCAAUCAACUGGCAGGUGUUGGAAGAAAUGAAGAAUUGCUAAUAGCUUAUUUUGGGAAAAGCCUUACGGGAGUAGCAUCCGAAUGGUUUGCUGAUCAAGACACCUCUCACUAGCAUGUCUGGGAUAACAUAGCCCCGACCUUUGUCAACCAGUUCCAACACAACAUCGACAUUGCCCCAGACCGCAAUUUCCUUUCAAACCUAGAAAAGAAACUAACUGAAAGUUUCAAGAAACUGCCACUAAAUGGAGAGAUAAAGUGGCUAGAGUUAAUCCACCCAUGGAUGAUCAGGAGCUAAUCAUGGUCUUCCUUCAGGCUCAUGAGCCAGAUUAUUUUCAAAACAUGAUGUCCGCAGUGGGCAAAUCUUUCUCAUAAGUAAUUAAAAUGGGGGAGAUCAGGACACAUCUCGCUGGUAUAUCUGGGAUAACAUGGCGCAGGCCUUUGUCAAACAGUUUCAAUACAACAUUGACAUCGCCCCAGACCGCAUUUCCCUUUCAAACCUAAAGAAGAAACCAAGUGAAAAUUUCAGGGAAUAUGCUAUUAAAUGGAGAGAGCACGCGGCUAGAGCUAAGCCACCCAUGAUUGACCACGUCUAAUCACUGUCUUUUUUCAGGCUCAAGAGCUGGAUUAUUUUCAAAACAUGAUAUCCGAUGUGGGUAAGUCCUUCUCGGAAGUAAUUAAAAUGGGGGAAAUGUUUGAGAAUGGUCUUAAGUCAGGAAAAAUAAUAAGUCAAGCAGUUAUUAGAGUUACAACUCAGGUUGACCAGAUUGAAUCAGAUAAUUUUGGUAAUUUUGGUGACCCGAAUGAGAAGGUUGAAGAAAUCAUGAUGACAUCGGGGCCGAGAAGAGGUCCCAGGAGAACAUCUCGAAGGUAUGAUCAGCCGCUUCAGGUUUUCCACGAUUCUCCUGAGCAAUAUUAUCCACCUCAGAACCCUUAAUACUCUAUUGCUGCACCUCAGUAUGAUGCCCAACCACCAAGACACCCUAGAAGGCAAGCACGAGCGCCACAAAAUCUCUACCAGACUCCACAAAAUUUUCAAGUGCCCCAUGACCCACAUCCAAGUCAGGGGUAUAGAAGGGAACAAAGGUUGAAGGAUAAAUUUACACCAAUAAGAGAGUCCUAUGCAAGCUUAUUUGAGAAGUUAAAGCAUUAUGACAUGAUUCAACCUAUUCUUCAAAUCAUGUAGACCCACGUGCAAGAAGUUUUGAACCUUCCAAAAGGUGUGAAUACCACACAAUGUUGAAAGUUGUUGGAAUUUGAAAAGAGAAAUAGAAAGGAUGAUCCAAUAAAACCUUAUCGUGAUCCAAGACAGUGACACCCGGAGUAUGGCCUAGUAUACUUUACCUGCACAUGACGAUGCACACUUUGUAGGGAUGAUGCCUAGUGAUAUGGAGUAUAAGAAUCCUCUCGGGAAUUUUCCAACUGAAAUGGGAGAAGUCCAUGGUGAUUUUGAUGAUCAAAUUUGUGGCUAAAUGUCAAGCUUAAAAAUAGAAAAGUCAUUCUCUCCUUACUAGUAAGGAAUCUUGGUAGCUUGUUUUGAUGUUUUUCUGCUAUCUGGGUUAUUUUAGGGUUGUGAUCUAGAUUUUAUUUGUUUUAUUAAGUCAAACCCUUCUAUCGUUGUUUUCUAUUUGUAGGAGUCAUGUCUGUAUUUUUUUGUUGCUAUUUUUAUUAUCCGGGUUAUAUAAGAUUUGUAACUUAGAUUUUAGGUUGCUUGUUUAGUUGUCAAACCCUUCCAUCCUUAUUCAAUAAAAUACAGUUUGUCGUUUCGUGUUAUUCUAUUCCUAGUUCUUUUCUUGCUAGUUCUAAUGACAUGACAUGCAUGCAAAAAUUUUGUCCGGAUCUUAGAAACUAAUUUAAUCUGGAAUUGGAUAACUGAAAAAAAUAAUUAAAAUACUUUUGAGGAUGAAUAAAAAGUUGUGAAGAUCGGGCUUCAAAUCAUUGUGAAGAUCGGGCUUGAGGAUGCUUAAUCAAUUGAAGUUUGUUGGAAAGUAAGGGAUGAAAAGUGUCUUGUGACCAUGACACACCAAGAAGUCAGACAUGUUCGUCAAUGCCGUGAUCGCGAAAAGAUACUAUAUUGGGCUUUCUCGAUGUUGGAAGGCCCAUUUUCUGCUAUCCAAACACUUUAUAUACUUUGCUACCCCUUUUGAGCAUGUAUUAUUUUCUUUAACCACCCUCUUUUGGAAUCAAGUUUAGAGCUAAGAUUCAAAAAAAAAAGAAAAAAAAACAAAAAAGAAAAAAAGUCCAUGUCCCAAGAGUACAAACUGGGGCAAUUUUUAGAAAGUUCAAGUGAAAAGAAGAAGAAGAAGAAGAAGAAGAAGAAGAAGAAGAAGAAGAAGAAGAAGAAGAACAGUCAAAAGUCCAUGCCCCUAGAAAAUAGAAGCUGGGGCAAUUUGUAAAAAAAGAGAAAAAAGAAUAAAAAAGAGAAAGAAAGAUGAAAAAUAGUUAGGUUAGAUAUUUGAACUACAUUAGACCUGAUUCCUUUUUAAAAGAGGAUACGUAGACAGCCUCACGGUUCGGUCCAACUUAAUAAGAAUUAAAAAAAAGAGAAAAAUGUUCCAAACAUUCCCAGUAUAUGAAACCAGGGUAGAAAUUUUAUUGCACUUUUGAUAGAGUCGAUUCUAAGAGUUGUAAGUCCACAACCCUUCAUUUUUAGUCUACUUUGAGCCUUCAUGCCGACCCUUCUGUCCAACCCUAUCCAAAACCUUCCAAUUAAAGACCUCCCGAUAUGCCUUCAAGAAUGCCAAGAGAAGCAUGCAACGAGCAAUUGUUAUUACGUGACAAACACUAUUAAGUUUCUCACACAAGAAAGUAAAAGAAAAAAGGAAAAAAAUAAAAAUGAUAUAGUCUUAUUAGUGAAACCCUCAUGUGCACUGUAAGGCGACGGUAAGAAGAGAUGAAUAAAUGAGAUAGACUUAUUGGUGAAAACUCCUCGGGGCACCAUCGGUCGAAAUUGAGUCAUGAAGCUAAUGCAAAGGAUUGACACAAACAAGCCCGACUUCAACGGUCCUAAAAUGGUAAAAGGGAGGAUUGUAUUAGUUUGAUAGAUCAGGCCUUUGAAUCCAAAUGCAUGUCAUGACCAUUAAGGCUAGUUAUCGAAAAAAAUGAAUUUUUUUUUUUUUUUGAAAAAACUCUUCCUUCUGUCCUUCCAACAGGGGGAAUUUCUUGUAAAUAUUCAUUUCAUCCUUGUCAAAACAAGAAAGAAAAGAUUUCAAAAUCUGCUACCUAUUUUUCACUCGUUUCUUUGCAUCACUGUGUCCUUCACUUUGAGUCCAUCCUUGUCAAAACAAGCAAGAAAAGAUUUCAAAAUCUACUAUCAGCUUUUUAAUUGCACAAAGUAGAUUAGUGCAUUCAGCUGUUAGUGUUAGCAUGCCUUGAGGAUUCAUGCAAGGGCUCCCCCAAAACACUCUUGUCGGCCUGCUUGGCGCAAAAAAUAUAACUAGUGAUUCUCUCUGACAGACAAAUCGCUCAAAAGUAGGAAGUCAUUCAAGAUAUAGAAGAGGUCACUUGAGCAAAUAUCUCCAGUUGGGACAAGGCUCAUUGAGCCGCAAAUACAAAUAGUACUGGGUGUAAAACAAUCAAAGGGGUGCGGAGCAAAAGUCUCUUGAGACUAGGGGUGUUCAUCGGGCGGAUUGGGCGGCUUUUACUCUUAACGGUUAUCGGCUUUUAAANNNNNNNNNNNNNNNNNNNNNNNNNNNNNNNNNNNNNNNNNNNNNNNNNNNNNNNNNNNNNNNNNNNNNNNNNNNNNNNNNNNNNNNNNNNNNNNNNNNNNNNNNNNNNNNNNNNNNNNNNNNNNNNNNNNNNNNNNNNNNNNNNNNNNNNNNNNNNNNNNNNNNNNNNNNNNNNNNNNNNNNNNNNNNNNNNNNNNNNNNNNNNNNNNNNNNNNNNNNNNNNNNNNNNNNNNNNNNNNNNNNNNNNNNNNNNNNNNNNNNNNNNNNNNNNNNNNNNNNNNNNNNNNNNNNNNNNNNNNNNNNNNNNNNNNNNNNNNNNNNNNNNNNNNNNNNNNNNNNNNNNNNNNNNNNNNNNNNNNNNNNNNNNNNNNNNNNNNNNNNNNNNNNNNNNNNNNNNNNNNNNNNNNNNNNNNNNNNNNNNNNNNNNNNNNNNNNNNNNNNNNNNNNNNNNNNNNNNNNNNNNNNNNNNNNNNNNNNNNNNNNNNNNNNNNNNNNNNNNNNNNNNNNNNNNNNNNNNNNNNNNNNNNNNNNNNNNNNNNNNNNNNNNNNNNNNGAUUAACCGUUAAGAAAAUUGAAUAAUCCAUCCCCAAACCGAUAAGCCGUUAAUAAAAAAAAUUCAAUCCGUUCCCCGACCGUUAAGCCGUUACCAGUAAGCCGUUAAGCUUCGGUUUGGAUCGGUUUUCGGUUUCGGAUCGAUUUUGAACACCCCCUACUUGAGACCGAUUCAAGUUGAUCGAACAAAAACCAAGCUGCUCAAGACUCAAGGCCAUAGACCGACCACCAUUUUCAAAACUGACAAAUUUUUCUUUGUGUGAAACAAGAACAAAGCAGUGCAAAGAAAGUGGUUCAAAAAACAGAAACAAAAAUAAAAACGAGAAAAAGAGAAGAAAAAGAAAAGAAGAGAAGAGCCGACAAAAGGAAGUUUCUCGAAUCUUUAUCUUUAUUUAUCUUGCUAUUGUUGCCAUUUUACAUUUUUCCUCCUAGGAUAAAAGUCCUAGUCCGAUGGAUUUUUCGCCCAAUUAAACGUCUAAGUCUGAUGAACUUUUCUCCUAAGAUAGACGACCUAGUCUGAUGAAUUUUCUCCCAAGAUUAAAAUCUUAAUUUGAUGAAUCUUUCUCCUAAGAUAGAAAACCUAGUCUGACAAAUUUUCUCCUAGUAUAAAUGUCUUAGUCUGAUGAAUUUUUCUUCUAAGACAAAAGACCUAGUCUGAUGAAUUUUCUCAUAGGAUUAAAUUCUUAGUCUGAUGAAUUUUUCUCCUAAGAUAGAAAACCUAGUCUGAUGAACAUCCUCCUAGGAUUAAAAUCUUAGUCUGAAAAAAUUUUCUUCUAAGAUAGAAAACCUAGUCUGAUGAACUUUCUCCUAGGAUAGAAAUCUUAGUCUGAUGAAUUUUUCUUCUAAGAUGGAAGACCCAGUCUGAUGAAUUUUCUCAUAGGAUCAAAAUCUUAGUUGGAUGAAUCUUUCUCCUAAGAUACCAAAAAGAAAAAAAGGACCUAGUCUGAUGAAUUUUCUCAUAGAAUAAAUGUCUUAGUCUGAUGAAUCUUUUUCCUAAGAUGGAAAAUCUAGUCUGACCAUUUUUUUUCCGAGGAUAAUAAUUAAAAAAAGAAAGGGAAGUAGUUGAAAAAAUGGGGAAGGGUGGAUUUUUUUAUAAAAAAAAAAAAAGAAAGUGUCAAUUUUUAGUUUUAGUGAAAUCAGGGGCCCCGCCUGGACAAUAUGAUCAGUCUUUACUUUAGACAAGCUUAGUUUAUAGUUUUUCGCAAGCUCAAACACUUUUAGGAGAUGCACAUCCUAGUCUAGUUUUUAGUUUACUCUCAUCAUUGCAUCAAUAGUAUAAGUGGUUUACAAUAUUGCUAACAACUCACAAAUCAUCCCAUACAAACUGGGACAGAAAAAUUUCUUUUGUUUUGUCUAUUUUGUUAUAAAACCAGGCGCCCAGCUGGAAAACAAAGGAAAACAACGCAAGUUUAAAGGGAAACAGUUUCGAAGGAAAACAACAUAAGAUUCAAGGGAAAGAAGUUUCGAAGGAAGGCAACUCCAGUUUAAAGGGAAAACAGUUUCGAAGGAAAACAACUCAAGAUUCAAGAGAAUGAAGUUUCAAAGGAAGGCAACUCAAGUUUCAAGGAAAGCAGUUUCGAACGAAGACAACUCAUGUUUCAAGGAAAAGCAAUCAAGCUUCAAAGUAAGUUAGUUUAAGUUUAGCAAUCAGGCGCCCACCUUAAUAACAAGGGAAGUCAUUUCAGAGUUCAAUCCAAGUUAGAAGUAAAGAAGCUCGCAUCAACAAUGCGAGUCAACAGUCCGAGAUGAUCAAUAGAAGUUAGUCACAAUCCGGAAUAAAAAGAAAAAAAUUAAAAAGAGAAGAAGUGAGACCUUAAAAAUAAAGACAAGAAUAAAUAAAACAUAAAUUCAAACACCAACGCAAACUUUUUUAAAUUAAAGUUUAGACUAAGUAUGAACUUAGUCAUAAACUAAAAAUUAUUUAUACAAAGUACCUCAUAAAAGGUAUGAGGACUUAACAUUUUCAAUAAACUCUUAGAAAGACCAAGGGUUACAUCUGUAUACUACCAAAAAGAAAAAAAGGGGGGGGGGGGAUUUAAAUAACAUAAACUUUUUUCAUCAAGAAGUUGAAGGGACUGAAGCAGGACAUCAACAACAGCGGGCUCAGCUUGACUUGAAGGAGUGGGGAUACCCGUAUCAUCUUCAAUUUUACCAGAAGCUUCAGCCAGGGGAGAAGAAAAAACUUGGUUCUGCUGAGUCUUCUCAAUAGUCUCUUUGAUCUUGGCUAACUCAAGACUGCAAGUUAAAGUUCUCCUGGCUAACUUCAACGAGGGUGUUAUUGUAAGAAUUUUAAAAUGCCCAACUCACUUCAGUGGCAGAUUUAUCUUCAAGAAUCUCGUAGUCUUUUUUCCAGUUAACAAUUUCAUUUCUUAAUUCUCAUUUUCAGCCAAUGCAUAUUCAUAAGAAGCUUGAAGAGAAGCAUGAGAAUUUUUGAAGGAGAAAACUUUAUCAGAGGAUACCUGGAGGUCUUCUUGAGUUUGGGUCAAAGUCUGCACAAGUUCACCAGCAUAUGCUUCUUUUUUAUCUAAGAGAGCUUUCAACUCUCUGAUCUCUUCACUUGCCUUGGAGAGUUGCUCAGAAAAUAAGGUUUCAAGACAAUCUUUUUCUUUACUUGCUUGACUUGAGGAGGCUUUUCAAUUGCCAAUUCUGAAUACAAAGCCAUUUCCUGCUGCUCUAAGGUACUUUUACUUUCUUCUAAUGUUUAAAAAAAGGGAUACCUUUAAACAAGCAUGCACGAUAUCUUUCAUCAUGAUCAAGGAACUGUGACUAUCAAACUUAGCUCUCUCAAUUUAACGAAUCAAAGGCUUUAGCCACACAUCAGCUUGACCCAAUUUCUUCAAAAGAUUACCCUCAACGGGAACUUCAAUGGCAACUUGCCUCAUAUCCUCACCUCUACUUGAGGACUCAACUUCGGGGUAAGGAACAGUUGAGCAAGGAGCAGUAGAAGCAGUUAAAACAGCUUGGGGAUAAACAGUAACAGCCACGACCGGCAAAAGAAGGAAUCACAAGAACGGGAGCAAAAAAAGAAUCUAGGGGUGCUUCAUUAGAAACCGCACCUAAGCUUUCACUUCCAAACCCGAGGUUAAAAAGAUGCUCAAUAGAAUCAUGAGCAGCAUCAGGAGUAUCAUCAGCAUCAUCAUCAGGAAUUAUCACCGGGGCUUCAACAGACUCAGUAAGAGGAAUAGGACGAGGGGAAGAGGCUUCAUCAUCAGAAAUGAUCCGUCUACGAGCUUGUGGUCUCGUUACCAAGGAACCCUCAUCUUUCUCUUCUUCAGAGUCUUGGUCAUCGGUAGAUUUUCUUUAAGACGAAGAACCUAAAAUAUUUCGUGGGCCCUUUCCAAGGAAUGCAAUAAGUUAUGAGCACCUCGGCACUAAUACCUCAAACAUCAAAUCCUAAUAGAAAUAAUGAUUAAAAUAAGUUUUAAAAAAACAAAAAUAUAAAAAAAAACUCCUACCAUGAGUUUUUACUUUCCAACCAAAUCGUUGGGACAGAGUCUUCCAAGAUCUACCCUCCAUUGGGGCAGUAUUCAACAACUUUCCUAUCCAACCACGGAAAUUAGAAAUUUCAUUAACAAUUCCCAUGGUUGCCGCAAAUGAAAAGGAAAAUUAUAAUAAUGAUCAUCAAAAUUAAGGAAAAAGGACACAGGAAAGUUAUUAGAAAGAAAACUCACGUACAGAAUUUCACUUCUUUGGGAAGGGAACAGUUUCUUCAUCCACUAAACCACCAGUGGGGGCAGCAAUAAAUCGGGCGUACCAGCUACGGUCUAUAUCAUGUUCAGAAUUAACUAAAACUCUUUUGCUCCUUGGCACUAAAGUAAAAACAUCCUGGCGAAAGAGGCUAGGAGAGUAUAGAUGAAUUAAAUGGGAAAAGCUGAAAGACACACCAGCCAUGUUAGUCAAAUGCCUUAGACAUGCAAUAAUCCUCCACACUAUGGGGCCUAAUUGACCUAAACAGACGUCAAAAAAUUGACAAAAUUCAAGGAUAACAGGGUCAAUAGCAAGUCUGAAACCUAAUGUGAAAGGGUAUGUUUAAAUAAAAGAAAACCCCAUGAAAUAAGAGGUGAUUCUCUAGUUUGCAUUAGAAAUUAUAAAAGGGAAAUCAUAAUCCCAGUGGCAAUCUCUACGAAUCAAAAAAGUCAGACCUUCGGUGAUCUGAGUGGGAUAGAUAUCAGCACGGUUUAAAGAAGACACUUGAUUUCUAAGAGACUCUCUAUUAUUAAAGAAAGAUAGUUCCGCAAGAACUAUUUCUUCCACAAAGGGUUCAUGAAGAGGUUCAGAGGGUUCUUUAUCUCUAGAAGAAGACCUAUGAGAAAGAGAACCUCUGGUUCUAGAAGAAGGACUGGAACUAGAUGAAGGAAGAGAAGAACCUUGUCAGGAUGAAGAACCUAAAUUGCGUAGUCUACCUCCUCUUCUACUCCUACUAGGGGUAAGAGGAAGAUUAUCAACUAUGGAUUCUCUCCUAGGGUUAGGGUUUGGUGAAGACAUGGCAGUACAAGGAAGAUGAAGAACGAGAAUAGAAUAUUCUAAAAGUUUUACGAGGAAGAUAAAAAUAAGAAUUGAAUAUUCUGAAAACUUUGAACUUUAUGAGAAAAAGACAGAGAUGAAAACUAUGUUUAUAAUAGGAAGCACCUGUUAAAAGAGAAGGUGCAAUGAUGGAAAAGUCAUAAUGAAAGUUGUCGCUUCGUAAUUACUAAAGCCGUAAAAAAGCCUUAAAACGGUGCAAAGUCGCAGAACCAACAUAAAUAUGAUACACGUGUAAUAAGCAUUAAAUAAAAGUGACAGUUGAAGCGGUGAUUCUAUAAUAGCAUUAAUGGCGGCAAAAAUUCCACUUUAAUAAAAUCCACUUCCCAAAUAUUCAAUUGAUGAAUAAAUGGAAAGUGGGGGACUAUCUGUAUUGGGAAAAUUGAGUUUACACAUAUUGAAGUGAUUCAAAGAUGACACAUCAUGAUAUAAAGACUGGUCAAAUAAUGAUGAUUAGCAAAGAGACACGGGUUGCAACAGAUAAAAGCAUAGGCACGAGCAAAAGCACGAGUAGAAUCGACUCUCGUAUCUAUUUAAACCAAAGAGUUAAGGGGAAUGAAUAUGAUAGCACAAGAAAGUACAUAUACAGUGAGCAUUAAAUACUGAAAACGUUAGGGAAUAUGUAUUAAAUUAUAAUGAUUAUGUAACAUAGAAUUUAAUGCCUUUAAUGGUCUAUAAUGGCCCAAUUAUGACAAAGGCAAAGUAUAUAUCUUAGAGAUAGCUAUAAAAUAAGGAGACUGGUCAUUUGUAAGGACACAAAACUCUAUUGGAAUACACUUAUUCACUUUGCUUUCUAUUCAUCUUUUUAUUUGCAAAAUCAAUUUCUUUUAUUCAUUUUCGAGUAUCAGUAAUUCGAGUUCUUCUAAAAAUAAAGCUUUGAUCAAAAUUCUUUUUUGUUUGAAAAUGCUAUUGUAAACAAUGAAUGAGCCUUCAAAAUCUUCUUUUGGUAAUUGUUGUUGUAUUUCACUAUUUGAAUAUUUAUUCGAAUUUUUGAGAGGCGAUUCAACCGCUUGUUUGUUGAGAAUUUUUGAAAUUCCAUUGGUUCUCUUGCGAAGAACGAAUUUAGUGGUUUUAAAUCUAGUAUUAUAACUGAGCGGGGUAUUGAAAUUUAGACUUGAAAAUGCAAUAAAUAUUUGUGUUUGAGGAUCAAAACUGGACGGACAAACAGAGACACCAUUAAAGCUUGCUUGAAGCUUCUGGGCAUGUGUGGUUCGAAGAUUUCAAUUUUAAGGCUCUUUAUGUUUCGGAUUCCCCCGCUUUGGUCCAUCUGUAUAAGGCAUCUCCUUGCCAUAAUGGGAUUGUGUUUAAAUCCCAAUGCAACUUAGUUAUGGACUGUGGAUUUUCAUUUACCUAUGCAUCACCCGUGUUUCAAAAUUUCAAAUUGUUACGGAGUGAAAAGGAUUGAUCUUGGUGGGAAAGCUUUGAGAAAUUUCAUGGAGUUAGUGAGUUACAGGAGCGUCAAUUUGAUGGACGAGAAUUUCCUUAUGGAUGAUGUAAAAGAGAAACUCUGCUUUGUGUUGCUAUGGACUUGCAGAUUGCUACGAUUUUCUAAAAGAUCCUAUUUUUAAAUAGUUUAUUUUUCUAUGUGGAUCUAGUAAUGAAGUGGCGUCCUACGUGCAGAAGAUUGUAUUACACGCACCGGUAACCUCAUGUAAGAGGGAUUUAUUAUAUACGAUUUGAAUUAGUGUAAGUGUUCAAUUGGAAAAAUGAUAAGUUUGGGGGCCAGCAUGACAAAGUGGCACAAGUAUAAGUGUCAUUUAGGCUAAUCUUCCUUUAAAUUUCAUUUUAACUUAGUGUAGUUUAUUAGUUCAAUAAAAUGCAGUAAAUCCACAUCUAUAUCUAAAGUCAAAAGUCAAUAUUAACUAUCCUCACAUAAUAAGCAAAGUUACUAGGAGCUAAGACCCCGUCUUGGUACCAUUUGAGUGUAAUCAAUUUAAAAAAUAUUGUUCUACAAACAAACAAGGGACAAAAUAAAUCGACUUCCACAUAUAACAAACGAAAUUAAAGAAAUAUAGAAAUAUAAAAGUGGAGACAAAGACAAGAACAUAUUACAUUGUUGAAAUCAAUGGUAUUACAAUAAUUACUUAAACCCUAACUUUACUCACAAUUUACAGACACAAAGUAAAUCUUUUAUAAAAAAACUCCCCGUAAAGGCAACAACACGACAACUUCACAGUAAUAUCGAUAAUGACAGAAUAUUCUGUGACGACCCGAAGGGGUCAUCACUUAUUUUCUUACUUAUUCUGUACGUAUGAUGCCUUGAAUUCUCAUUUGAGGUUUCCUCGAUUUGCAUGCACAGUCCUGGCGCGUAGCCGGAAAGAUUAGAUAUUAAUUCUGUGAGAAAAAUGCUAAAAUUUGAUAUUAAAUUGAAUAAAUUUGAUUUCGGUCGAUAUUUUGGGUAACCCAACCCGGACUCGUGAUUUGACGGUCCCGGAGGGUCCGUAGGAAAUAUGGGCCUUGGAAUGCUAAAAUUUGAUAUUAAAUUGAAUAAAUUUGAUUUCGGUCGAUAUUUUAGGUAACCCAACCCGGACUCGUGAUUUGACGGUCCCGGAGGGUCCGUAGGAAAUAUGGGCCUUGGGCAUAUGCAGGGAAACGAAUUCCGAGGUCCCAAGCCCGAGAAAUAAAUUUUUGCGUGAAAUUAUUUUCUGAAAAUAAUUAAGGAAAUUGGAAGUGGAAUUGAUUAAAAGAUUAUGGUAUCGGGCCAGUAUUUUGGUUUCAGUGCUUGGUACAAGUCUUAUAUAUGGUUUAAGCGCUUUCUGAAAAGUUUGGUUAAAAAGGACGUCGUUUGAUAUGUUUCGGACUUAAAAUGGAAAUUUGAUGUUUUAUGAAAACUUGGAAGAAAUUAUAAGUUUUGAGGCUUAAUUCGAUGUGAUGUUAUUUUGGCGAUUUGAUCGUACGGAUAAGUCUGUAGGAUGCUUUUGAGGUUGUGGGAUAUUUGGUUUGGACCCCCGAAGGCUCGAGUGAGCUUUGGAUAGGUGUCGGAGUGCAUUUUGAACUUGGAAAAGUUUAUGCUAUAACUGACCUGCAGGGUUCGCAAUUGGGAAGCCUAGCUCGCAAAUGCGAAGUCACAAUUGCGAAGGGUUAGCUCGCAAAUGCGAGGCCCUUAAUUCUUGGCAUAGUUCGCAAAUGCAAACUAUACCCUCGCAAAUGCAAUGGCGAGGUCAUCGCAAAUGUGCUCUUAUGGUUCGCAAAUGUGAACCUCCCAGUUUUCCCCAUAGUUCGCAAAUGCGAACAAGAGUCUCGCAAUUCCAAAGUUAGCAGGGUCGAGGUUCGUAAUUGUGAACCCCUUUUCGCAAUUGCGACAUUUGCAACCUACAAUUUUUAUACUUAGUCGAAUUUUGGACAUUUUCAAGAACAAGACCUUUUCCAAAUCGUUUGUCAGUUGGUUUUUACUUAUUUAUUUCAAUCUUUAACAUGUUUUUAACUUAAAAUCAAUGAUUUUCAUGGGUAAAACUGGAUGUUUGCGGUAGAACCUAGGUUUUUCGAAAAUUGAGAAUUUGGACCUCAAUUUGAGGUUCGAUUUAAAAAAAAUCAUAUAUUUGGGUUUACGGGGAAAUGGGUAAACGGAUUUUGGUUCAAACCUCGGAUUUUGACCAUAUGGGCCUGAGGGGAAUUUUGGUCAUUUUACCUAAAUUUGCGUCUUUGCUUUAAAUUGAAUAUAAGAAUCUAUUGCUUGAGAUGUUAUUUACGAUAUGUAAUUGAAUUGAAUAGAUUUGGGCCAUUUGGAGUCGGAUAUUCGUGGAAAAAGUGUGAUUUCAAGUUGAAUUUGGAUAAGUAGCUUGUCUAACCUUGUAUGGGGGACCUUUCCCCUAAGAUAUGUUAUUUGGUAAUUGAGUGCCUUGUACGUGAGGUGACGAGCACGUACUUGAGUAAAUAGUUGAAAAUCCAGUUUUUACUUAAGAUAUUAAGACUGAGUUUAUUUCAUACUUGAUUUAUCUUACUUGCAAUUAUAACCUAUGUUAGAUUAGAAAGACAUGUUUAGUUGAUUUAACUUGCCGACUUUCUUAAAUUGCCUUAACUGCACUACGUGAGACAUGUUAGGUUAGAACUAUCUGUUGCUUGUAUUGUUGUACUUUAUUUCUGAAUAUUCUCUGAUUGUGGUUGCACAUUUAUAUUUGGGACUACAGGUUAGAUUCCCGGGAGACUUCCCUGCACAUUUAUAUUUGGGACUACGAUUUAGAUUACCGGGAGAUCCCUCUGCAUAUUUACUUUGAGACUACAGGUUAGACUCUCGGGAGAUCCCCUGCACUUCUAUAUUAUGGACUACAGGGCGAUAUCCUGGGAGAUCCUUGUUAUUGGUAUUGACAUGGAAAUAGACUACAAGACGAUAUCCUGGGAAAUCCUCAUUAUUGGUAUUGAUAUGGAAAUGGACUACAAGACGGUAUACUGGGAGAUCUUUGUUCUUGGUAUUGACAUGGAAAUGGAUUACAGAAUGGUAUUCUGGGAGAUCCUCGUUAUUGGUAUUGACAUGGAAAUGUACUACAAGACGGUAUCCUGCGCGAUCCUCUUUGUUGGUAUUGACAUGGAAAUGGACUACAAGACUGUAUCCUGGGAGAUCCUCGUAAUCGGUGCUGACAUUGAGCUGUCUUACUCUGUGUUAUCUUGUCCUCUGUGUGUUGAUUGUUGUUUGUGUAAUCUGACUUAAUUCACAGUCGUAUUCCAUUUGCUAGGAUUUUUAUUAUAUUGUUUAAUCUUAGUAGGGCCCUGACUUUCCUCUUCACUACCCGACCGAGGUUAGGCUUAGCACUUACUAAGUACUGUUACAGUGUCCUCAUGACUCUUAUGUGCAUGUUUUUCAUGUGAAGAUCCAGAUACUUCAUCACAUGCGCACUAUCCUUGAGGCCAGGAGAGCUACCUUGAGGUACUUCUACAGCGUCCGCACACCCAUGAGUCUCCUUUCUUUACUCUAUUUGUAGUAUUUGGACUUAUUUCAUACUUUUGCUUUAGAUAUUCUAGAGUUAGAACCAUGUAUUACUUUUCGUUAGCUUGUGUUCCUGUGAGUUUCUGGGUUUUGGGGUGUUAUUGUAAACUUCCGCAUUUUUGAGUUGUAUAUGCCAAGUGGCACUUAUAUACCAUUUUCUUCUAGUUUUGCUUAAUUUAAUUAAGUGUUUCCGCAAGGUAUAUAAAUUUCUGCAUAGUUAGGCUUACCUAGUUAUAGGAACUAGGUGCCAUCACGACAUGUUCAUGGAGGGUGAAUUGGGGUCGUGACAAGUUGGUAUUAGAGCUCAAGGUUCAUAGGAGUCAUAGAACACAAGCCGGUUUAUUAGAGUCUCAUUGAUCGGUAUGGAGACGUUUGUACUUAUCUACGAGAGGCUAUAUAACUUUUUAGGAAAAAUCUUCACUCCAUUGAUUUCCUUGUCGUGCGAUAUUUUUGAUAUCAAAUAUAAACUUCUAUCUUUUUUCUCUCACAGAUGGUGAUGACACACACUACUCAGGAUGAUCAAGCACCCGCGCCCCCUAUUGCAGCCGUCAGAGGUCGGGGCCGGGAUAGAGGUCGAGGACGUGCACGUGGUACAACCAGAGCACCUGCGCGAGCUGCCACCGAGGCACCACCAGGAGAUCCAGUCGGAGCCCAUGAACCUGGCACGUCUACUACUGCCACUACUACUCCAGCCCUUCAGGAGACGUUGGCUCAAUUCAUGUCUAUGUACACCACCUUGGCUCAAGCAGGGUUGCUUUCCCUCGCUGCAGCCACAUCCCAGGUCGGGGGAGGAGCGAAGAAUCCCUCCAUCUGCACUCCUCAGCAGCGAGUGUAGGUUGAUCAGGUCCUAAAGAUCAUUCAUGUUCCGCCUGCAGUGCCAGUUUAGCCCUUGGAUGGGGCAGCUACUUCUGAGGACGAGCAACGAAGGUUGGAGAGGUUCAAGAAGUAUGAUCCUUCGAUUUUUAGUGGAUUAGUGACAGAUGAUGCCUUGAGAUUUCUAGAGGAGUUCCACCGUAUUUUAUGCCCUAUGGGCAUAGUAGAGUCCAUCGGGUUUCCUUCACUGCUUUUUAGCUCCGGGGAGCCGCUUAUGAUUAGUGGCAUACUUAUGAUAUAGAUAGCCCAUUCGAGGCUGCUUCAGUGACUUGAACCCAGUUCUCGGAGAUGUUUGUGAAAGAGUUUAUCCCAGAGUCUCAGACACGCAUGGCACACAGAAUUUGAGCAUUUGCGCCAUGGUGCUAUGACCGUUUCAAAGUAUGCUAUACGUUAUACUAGAUUGGCCAGGCAUGCACCGACUUUGCUUUCUAUAGUCCGCGAGAGAGUUCGCAGGUUCAUUAAGGGUCUUAUCCCACCUAUCAGAUCAAGCAUAGCUCGAGUGUUAGAGAUGGACAUUCCUUUAUCAGCAGGUAGUGAGAAUUUCUAGGAGGAUCGAGAGUAUGCACGCUAGGGGCGAGAGGAAAGGGAGGCCAAUAGGUCUCGAGAGUCGAGCCACUAUUUUGGUGCCUGUACCCCAGCAGCAGGUCGAUAUGCUAUGGGUUUUGUGGGUCGCCCCGUUUAUUCAGCUCUUCCAACAUCGAGAAGUGCUCCAGCUCCACCUAUACCUCAGGAACCUUACUAUGCACCUCCGGUUUCUAACGCACCUCCUGCGCGGGGUGUUCCAAAGGUUAGUAUAUAAGACCUAGCCCUAGUCAGUCAUAGCCACCGUGCCCUCCCAAAGCUUGCUUCGAGUGUGGUGAUACACGCCAUAUGGUUAGGGACAGCCUUAGACAUGGUAGGGGUGUAUCUUUACAGACUGUUCAGCCAUACCAUGCCCCGCAUAGCUCUCACACUAUGGUUACAGCCCCAGUUUCCGCCCCACCCACUCAGACAGCUAGAGGUGGAGGGCGAUGAGGUAGAGGUUUUCUCUCGAGGGGAGGCCAGGCCAGAUAUUAUGCCCUUCCUGCUCGUGCCGAGGUUGUUUCCUCUGAUUCUGUUAUCACUGGUAUUAUAUUGGUCUUCCAUAGAAAGGCAUCGGUUCCAUUCGAUCCGGGCUCUACUUAUUCUUAUGUGUCUUCUUACUUUGCUUCGCAUUUGGGUGUCUCUCGGGAUUCUAAACGGGGGCAUUUGAGUGCCCCCGUUUAUGUUUCUACUCUUGUGGGAGAUUCCCUUGUUGUGGACCGCAUUUACAUGUUUAGUUACGAUUCUUGGUUUUGAGACCAAGGCAGAUUUAUUGUUACUCAACAUGGUUGGUUUUGAUAUUAUCUUGGGCAUGGAUUGGUUGUCGCCCCAUUAUUCUAUUCUUGAUUGUCACGCUAAGACUGUGAUGCUGGCUAUGUCAAGUAUUUCGUAUUGAGUCGAGUGGCAUUUUAGAUCACACUCCUAAUAGAGUUAUCUCUUUCCUUAAAGCUCAUCGUAUGGUUGAGAAGGGGUGCAUAGCGUAUUUAGCCUAUGUGAGGGAGGUCAGUGUGGAUACCCCUUCUGUUGAUUCUGUCCCAGUGGUACGGGAUUUUCCCGAUAUGUUUCAAGCUGAUCUUCUGGGCAUGCCGCCUGACAGAGACAUCAAUUAUGGCAUUGAUUUGUUACCAGGCACUCAGCCCAUUUCCAUUCCCCUAUAUCAUAUGGCUCCUCCUGAGUUGAAGGAACAGUUACAGGAAUUGCUUGAUGAGGGUUUUAUUCGACCCAGUGUUUCACCAUUGGGUGCUCCUGUCUUGUUUGUGAAGAAGAAGAAGGAUGGUUACAUGCCUAUGUGUAUUGAUUAUCUCUAGUUGAACAAGGUUACGGUGAAGAAACAUUAUCCUUUGCCUCGUAUUGAUGAUCUAUUUGACCAGCUUCAAGGCGCACAUGUGUUUUCUAAGAUUGACUUGCGCUCAGGUUACCGUCAGUUGAAGAUUCCGGAGCCAGACAUCUCGAAGACUGCCUUCAGGACUCGGUAUGGUCAUUACGAGUUCCUUGUUAUGUCCUUUGGACUGACCAAUGCCCCGGCAAUUUUUAUGCAUUUGAUGCAUAGUGUACUAAGGCCAUAUCUCGACUCAUUCAUUAUUGUUUUUAUUGAUGAUAUUCUGGUGUAUUCCGGGAGUCGUGAAGAUCAUAAGCAGCACCUGAGGGCCGUGCUUCAAACCCUGAGGGAGAAGAAGUUAUAUGGGAAGUUCUCAAAAUGUGAGUUGUGGUGUAUUUAGUGGAGUUCUUAGACCAUGUGGUUUGGAGUGAGGGAAUUUGGGUAGAUCCGAGGAAGAUAGAGUCGUGCAUAGUUGGCCCAAGCCAUACUCAGCCAUAGAGAUUCAUAGUUUCCUUGUUUUGGCGGGUUACUACCGUCGUUUUGUGGAAGGGUUUUCAUCACUUGCAUCCCCUAUGACUAGGUUUACGCAGAAGGGUUCUCCAUUUCAGUGGACAGAGGAGUGUGAGGUGAGCUUUCAGAAGCUCAAUACACCUUUGACUACAACCCCUAUUCUCAUAUUGUCUGCUGGUUCGGGAUCUUAUAUAGUUUAUUGUGAUGCCUCACAGGUUGGCCUUGGAGUGGUGUUGAUGCAGGACGGUAGGGUGAUUGCCUACGCGUCCAGACAGUUGAAGAUACAUAAGAAGAAUUACCCCGUCCACGAUCUUGAGUUAGCCGCUAUUGUGACGAUCCAAAGGGUCAUCACUUGUUUUAUUUGUUAUUUUGAGCUUCAGAGGUCUUGAAAACCUCACUAUUAGUUGCCUCGGUUUGCGUCACGGUUCGGGCGCUAAGACGGAAAAUUUAAUGUUGAUAUAGUAUGGUGUGCCUUGUGAGAUUUAUACUGAUCAUAGGAGUUUUCAGCAUUUGUUCAAGGAGAAGGAUCUAAAUUUGCGCUAGAGGAGGUGGUUAGAGUUGCUAAAGGAUUAUGAUAUCACUGUUCUGUAUCACCUGGGCAAGGCCAAUGUGGUAGCAUAUGCGUUGAGUUGCCGGGCGGAGAGUUUGGGGAGUUUGGCUUAUUUACCAGCCUUAGACAGACCUAUGGCGAUGGAUGUUAAGGCCUUAGCUAGUCAGUUUGUGAGAUUGGAUAUUUCAAAUCCUAGUCGGUUUCUAGACUGCAUGGUUUCUCGGUCUUCAUUGUUCGAUCAUAUCAUGGUAUCAUGGAGUGGCAGUAUGAUGACCCUCAUUUAUGUAUCCUCAAACACACAGUUCAGCACGGCUAUUCCAGAGAGGUGACCAUUGGAGAUGACUGGGUAUUGAGGAUGCAGGGUAGGAUUUGUGUGCCCAGUGUCGAUGUGCUUCGGGAGUUGAUUCUAGCAGAGGCCUAUAGUUCGCGAUAUUCCAUCCACCCGGGUGCUGCGAAGAUGUAUCAGGACUUGAAACAACACUAUUGGUGGAGGAGGAUGAAGAAGAAUAUAGUUGGAUAUGUAGCUAGAUGUCUCAACUGUUAGCAGGUGAAGUAUGAGCACCAGAGACCAGAUGGGUUGCUUCAGCAAAUAGAUAUUCCGGAGUGGAAAUGGGUGAGGAUCACCAUGGAUUUUGUGGUUGGUCUCCCUCGGGCUGCGAAGAAGUUCGAUUCCAUUUGGGUGAUUGUGCAUCGGCUGACCAAGUACGCUCAUUUUAUCCUUGUGUGUAGUACCUAUUUAUCAUAGCGGUUGGCGAAGAUUAAUAUCCGGAAGAUUGUUCGUCUACAUGGUAUUUCUAUCAUUUUGGAUAGAGGUACUCAGUUCACAUCACGGUUCUGGAGAGCCGUUCAGCAGGGGUUGGGUACUCAGUGGAGUUGAGAAAGGCAUUUCACCCCCAGACAGACGGAUAGUCCGAGCGUACUAUUUAGAUUCUAGAGGAUAUACUUCGCGCAUGUCUAAUUGAGUUUGGAGGGUCUUGGGAUCAGUUCUUGCUAUUGGCGAAGUUUGCCUAUAACAACAAUUAUCAGUCCAACAUUCAGAUGGCGUCGUAUGAGGCUUUAUAUGGUAGGAGGUUCAAGUCUCUGAUGGGUUGGUUUGAGCCGAGUGAGGCCCGACUAUUGGGUACAGAGUUGGUUCAAUUCAAGAUGCAUUGGAGAAGGCUAAGGUGAUUCAGUAUAGACUCCAUACAGCCCAAUCUAGACAGAAGAGUUACGCGAACAAGAAGGUUUGUGAUGUAUCAUAUAUGGUCGGAGAGCGGGUUCUGCUUCGGGUCUCGCCUAUGAAGCGCGUUAUGAGAUUUGGGAAGAAAGGGAAGUUGAGUCCGAGGUUCAUUGGCAUUUUUGAGGUUUUGAGAUGUGUUGGGGAGGUUGCUUAUGAGCUUACCUUACCUCCCAGUUUGGCCGGGGUUCAUCCGGUAUUUCAUGUUUUGAUGCUCCGGAGAUAUCACAGUGACCCCUCGAACAUAUUGGAUUUCAGCUCAUCCCAGUUGGACAAUGAUCUAUCCUAUGUUGAGGAGCCAGUGGCUAUAUUGGACAGGCAGGUCAGAAAGUUGAGCGGGAUAUGCGAAGCCGUUAUCCUCAUCUUUUUCCAGACUCAGGUACUUCUUUCUUUUGUCCGUUCAAGGACGAAUGGUUGUUUUUAGUGGUGGAGGAUGUGACGGCCCAAAGGGGUCAUCACUUGUUUUCUUACCUAUUUUAUACUUUUUAGGCCUUGAAUACCUUAUAUGGGGUUGCCUCAAUUUGCAUGCGUAGUCCGGGCGCGUAGCCUGAAAGCUUAGAUAUGGAUUCUAUUAGAAAAAUGCUAAAAUUUGAUAUUAAAUUGAAUAAAUUUGACUUCGGUCAACAUUUUGGGUAAACCAACCCGGUCUCGUGAUUUGACGGUCCUAAAGGGUAUGUAGGAAAAUAUAGAACUUGGGUGUAUGCCCAGAAUCAAAUUUCGAGGUCCCAAGCCCGAGAAAUGAAUUUUUGCGUGACAUCCUUUUCUGGAAAUAAUUAAGGAAAUUGGAAGUGAAAUUGAUUAAAAGAUUAUGGUAUCAUGCCCGUAUUUUGGUUCUAGUGCCCGGUACAAGUCUUAUAUAUGGUUUAAGCACUUUCUGUAAAGUUUGGUUGAAAACGGACGUCGUUUGAUGUGUUUCGCACUUAAAAUUAAAAAUUUGAUGUUUCAUGAAAACUUGGAAGAAAUUAUGAGUUUUGAGGCUUAAUCCAAUAUAUAUGAUGUUAUUUUGGCGAUUUGAGAUAAGUCCGUUGAAUGUUUUUGAGGUUGUGUGUAUAUUUGGUUUGGACCCCUGAAGGCUCGGGUGAGUUUUAGAUAGGUGUCAAAGUGCAUUUUGAACUUGGAAAAUUUGCUGCUAUUACUGACUUGCAGGCUUCGCUAUUGCAAAGCCUGGCUCUCAAAUGCGAGGUCGCAAUUGUGAAGGGUCAGCUCGCAAAUGCGAGGCCCUUAAUUCCUGGCAAAGUUCGCAAAUUCGAAACUAUACCCUCGCAAAUGCGAUGGUGAGGUCAUUGCAAAUGCGACCUUAUGGUUCGCAAAUGCGAACCUCCCAAUUCUCCGCAAAGUUUGCAAAUGCGAACAAGAGUCUCGCAAUUUCCAAGUUAGCAGGGUCGGGUUAGCAAUUGAGAACCCAUGUUCUCAAUUGCGACAUCUACAACCUGCAAUUUUUAUACUUAGUCGAAUUUUGAAUAUUUUCAUCCCAUUUCAAAACGCAACUCAUUUGGGCGAUUUUCCAAGAACAAGACCUUUUCCAAAUCAUUUGUAAGUUGGUUUUUACUUAUUUCUUUCAAUCUUUAACAUCAUUUAACAUGNNNNNNNNNNNNNNNNNNNNNNNNNNNNNNNNNNNNNNNNNNNNNNNNNNNNNNNNNNNNNNNNNNNNNNNNNNNNNNNNNNNNNNNNNNNNNNNNNNNNNNNNNNNNNNNNNNNNNNNNNNNNNNNNNNNNNNNNNNNNNNNNNNNNNNNNNNNNNNNNNNNNNNNNNNNNNNNNNNNNNNNNNNNNNNNNNNNNNNNNNNNNNNNNNNNNNNNNNNNNNNCUUGACUUCAUUGUUUGUCAUUCAUCAAAACCUAUACCUGAAAAUCAUGCUCAUACAACCAAAGCGCACAUAUCAAAGGUAUACAUGAUUUCCAACAAUAUUUGGGUUCGUGGGGGAAUCGGUAAACGGAAUUUGGUUCGAACCUCGGGUUUUGACCACGUGGUCCUGAAGGGAGGUUUGGUUAUUUUACCCAAAUUUGCGUCUUAGCUUUAAAUUGAAUAGUAGAAUCUAUUGCUUAAGGUGUUAUUUGCGAUAUGUAAUUGAAUUUAAUAGAUUUGGGCCAUUUGGAGUCGAAUACUCAUGGCAAAAGUGUGAUUCCAAGUUGAAUUUGGAGCCGGUUUGAGGUGAGUGGCUUGUCUAAUCUUGCGUGGGGGACCUUUCCUCUAGGAUAUGUUAUUUGGUAAUUGAGUGCCUUGUAGUUGAGGUGACGAGCACGUACUUGAGCUAAUCGUUGAAAAAUACAAUUUUUACUUAAGAUAUUGAGACUGAAUUUCUUUCGUACUUACUUUAUCUUACUUGCAAUUAUAACCCGUGUUGGAUUAGAAAGACGUAUUUAGUUGAUUUAACUUGCCUACUUGCUUAAAUUGCCUUAGCUGCACUACGUGAGACAUGUUAGGAUAGAACUAUAUGUUGCUUGUAUUGUUGUACUUCAUUUAUGAAUAUUAUCUAAUUGUAGUUGCGCAUUUAUAUUUGGGACUACGGGUUAGAUUCCCGGGAGAUCCCCCCGCAAGUUUUUGGGACUAUGGGUUAGAUUCCCGAGAGAUCCCCUUGCACAUUUAUAUUUCGGACUACGGGUUAGAUUUCUGGGAGAUACCCCUGCAAAUUUAUAUUCCGGACUACAUGACGAUAUCCUAGGAGAUCCUCGUUAUUGGUAUUGAUAUAGAAAUGGACUACAAGACGGUAUCCUGGGAGAUCCUCGUUGUUGGCGUUGACAUGGAAAUGGACUACAUGACAGUAUCCUGGGAGAUCCUCGUAAUCGGUGCUGACAUUGAGUUGUCUUACUCUGUGUUAUCUUACCCUUGAUGUGUUGAUUGUUGUUUGUGUAAUAUUACUUAAUUCACAAUUGUAUUCCAUUAUUUCUACUUAUUUCAUACUUUUGCUAGCAUUUUUAUUAUAUUACUUAAUCUCAGUAGGGCCCUGACCUUCCUCGUCACUACCUGACCGAGGUUAGGCUUGGCACUUACUGAGUACCGAUGUGGUAUCCUCAUGCCUCUUCUCCGUAUGUUUUUCAUGUGCAGACCUAAGUACAUCAUCUCAGACGCACUAUCCUUGAGGCCAGGAGAGCUACGGAGACCUUGAGGCACUUCUGCAGCGUCUGCAGACCCAGGAGUCUCCCUUGUUUACUCUAUCUGUAGUAUCUGGACUUCUUCCGUACUUUUGCUUUAGAUAUUCUGGAGUUAGAGCCAUGUAUUACUUUCUGUUCGCUUGUUUUCCCGUGAGUUUCCGGGUUUAGG